rnacentral:rRNA from 1 species
AUUGAACGCUGGCGGCAGGCCUAACACAUGCAAGUCGAACGGUAACAGGAAGCCGCUUGCCGCUUUGCUGACGAGUGGCGGACGGGUGAGUAAUGUCUGGGAAACUGCCUGAUGGAGGGGGAUAACUACUGGAAACGGUAGCUAAUACCGCAUAACGUCGCAAGACCAAAGAGGGGGACCUUAGGGCCUCUUGCCAUCGGAUGUGCCCAGAUGGGAUUAGCUAGUAGGUGGGGUAACGGCUCACCUAGGCGACGAUCCCUAGCUGGUCUGAGAGGAUGACCAGCCACACUGGAACUGAGACACGGUCCAGACUCCUACGGGAGGCAGCAGUGGGGAAUAUUGCACAAUGGGCGCAAGCCUGAUGCAGCCAUGCCGCGUGUAUGAAGAAGGCCUUCGGGUUGUAAAGUACUUUCAGCGGGGAGGAAGGGAGUAAAGUUAAUACCUUUGCUCAUUGACGUUACCCGCAGAAGAAGCACCGGCUAACUCCGUG